UAGCUAGUUGGUGAGGUAAAGGCUUACCAAGGCGACGAUCUGUAGCGGGUCUGAGAGGAUGAUCCGCCACACUGGAACUGAGACACGGUCCAGACUCCUACGGGAGGCAGCAGUGGGGAAUUUUGGACAAUGGGGGCAACCCUGAUCCAGCCAUGCCGCGUGAGUGAAGAAGGCCUUCGGGUUGUAAAGCUCUUUCGGCCGGGAAGAAAUCGCAUGGGCCAAUACCCUGUGUGGAUGACGGUACCGGAAUAAGAAGCACCGGCUAACUACGUGCCAGCAGCCGCGGUAAUACGUAGGGUGCGAGCGUUAAUCGGAAUUACUGGGCGUAAAGCGUGCGCAGGCGGUUUUGUAAGACAGGCGUGAAAUCCCCGGGCUUAACCUGGGAACUGCGUUUUGUGACUGCAAGGCUAGAGUACGGCAGAGGGGGGUGGAAUUCCACGUGUAGCAGUGAAAUGCGUAGAGAUGUGGAGGAACACCAAUGGCGAAGGCAGCCCCCUGGGUCGAUACUGACGCUCAUGCACGAAAGCGUGGGUAGCAAACAGGAUUAGAUACCCUGGUAGUCCACGCCCUAAACUAUGUCAACUAGGUGUUGGGUGGGUAAAACCAUUUAGUACCGUAGCUAACGCGUGAAGUUGACCGCCUGGGGAGUACGGCCGCAAGGUUAAAACUCAAAGGAAUUGACGGGGACCCGCACAAGCGGUGGAUGAUGUGGAUUAAUUCGAUGCAACGCGAAAAACCUUACCUACCCUUGACAUGCCAGGAACUUGCCAGAGAUGGCUUGGUGCCCGAAAGGGAGCCUGGACACAGGUGCUGCAUGGCUGUCGUCAGCUCGUGUCGUGAGAUGUUGGGUUAAGUCCCGCAACGAGCGCAACCCUUGUCGUUAAUUGCCAUCAUUUAGUUGGGCACUUUAACGAGACUGCCGGUGACAAACCGGAGGAAGGUGGGGAUGACGUCAAGUCCUCAUGGCCCUUAUGGGUAGGGCUUCACACGUCAUACAAUGGUCGGUACAAAGGGUUGCCAAGCCGCGAGGCGGAGCCAAUCCCAGAAAGCCGAUCGUAGUCCGGAUUGCAGGCUGCAACUCGCCUGCAUGAAGUCGGAAUCGCUAGUAAUCGUGGAUCAGCAUGUCACGGUGAAUACGUUCCCGGGUCUUGUACACACCGCCCGUCACACCAUGGGAGCGGGUUCCGCCAGAAGUAGGUAGCCUAACCGCAAGGGGGGCGCUUACCACGGCGGGGUUCGUGACUGGGGUGAAGUCGUAACAAGGUAGCCGUAGGGGAACCUGCGGCUG
rnacentral:rRNA from 1 species